rnacentral:rRNA from 1 species
UGGGGAAUAUUGCGCAAUGGGGGGAACCCUGACGCAGCCAUGCCGCGUGAAUGAAGAAGGCCUUAGGGUUGUAAAGUUCUUUCGGUAUUGAGGAAGGUUGAUGUGAUAAUAGCACAUCAAAUUGACGUUAAAUACAGAAGAAGCACCGGCUAACUCCGUGCCAGCAGCCGCGGUAAUACGGAGGGUGCGAGCGUUAAUCGGAAUAACUGGGCGUAAAGGGCACGCAGGCGGUUAUUUAAGUGAGGUGUGAAAGCCCCGGGCUUAACCUGGGAAUUGCAUUUCAGACUGGGUAACUAGAGUACUUUAGGGAGGGGUAGAAUUCCACGUGUAGCGGUGAAAUGCGUAGAGAUGUGGAGGAAUACCGAAGGCGAAGGCAGCCCCUUGGGAAUGUACUGACGCUCAUGUGCGAAAGCGUGGAGAGCAAACAGGAUUAGAUACCCUGGUAGUCCACGCUGUAAACGCUGUCGAUUUGGGGGUUGGGGUUUAACUCUGGCGCCCGUAGCUAACGUGAUAAAUCGACCGCCUGGGGAGUACGGCCGCAAGGUUA